CUUAGUGGCGAACGGGUGAGUAACGCGUGAGUAACCUGCCCUAGAGUGGGGGACAACAGUUGGAAACGACUGCUAAUACCGCAUAAGCCCACGGUACCGCAUGGACAGAGGGGAAAAGGAUUUAUUCGCUUUAGGAUGGACUCGCGUCCAAUUAGCUAGUUGGUGAGGUAACGGCCCACCAAGGCGACGAUUGGUAGCCGGACUGAGAGGUUGAACGGCCACAUUGGGACUGAGACACGGCCCAG
rnacentral:rRNA from 1 species